UACGUAGGGGGCAAGCGUUGUCCGGAAUUAUUGGGCGUAAAGCGCGCGCAGGCGGUUUUGUAAGUCUGGUGUUUAAUCUCGGGGCUCAACCCCGAUUCGCAUUGGAAACUGCAAGGCUUGAGUGCAGAAGAGGAAAGUGGAAUUCCACGUGUAGCGGUGAAAUGCGUAGAGAUGUGGAGGAACACCAGUGGCGAAGGCGACUUUCUGGGCUGUAACUGACGCUGGAGGCGACGAAAGCGUGGGGAGCAAACAGG
rnacentral:rRNA from 1 species